AUGAGCCUAUCGCAGGAGAUACGCAUCUUUCUAACUGCACUCAGUUAAGCUGAUACACAUGUGUACGUAGAAAAUUCGAGAACUUAUGUCUAGUUACAUUCAUGCAGAAGUGUAACUAACUAGCAAUAUGUAUAAAUAUCUUGAACGUAACUGAGUAUAUGUACAUAUAUACGUAGCAUCUGAUGGCUGGAGACAACUAGAAUCGAAUUGUGUAUUUCAACAAAUUUAUUUCUACGUGAUAUUGUCUCUUUCUUCUCAGGCAAUGCGCCAAAAUGCGUCAAUCUUACCGGCUGGGAUACGCAGAGCCUCGCGCAGCCCUGCUUUGCGGAUUGGCGCAAGCGCAGCAUUCGCAUUCCAUGUAAAAUACUGCUACUACCCUCUGUAAUAUUCAUCCCUCGUCUCGAUCAAAACACCAUAUUCCCCUGUUCUUCGAAAAGCGUGCUACGACGCGACCUUUUCAUUUAGUCAUCGCCAACUGUCUAAUAACAAACCUUCUGAAGUCGUCCAUCAUUCUGUGCCCAAAGAAGCAACCCUUAGACCAGUGAAUAUCGGCGAAUUCAUCGUACGUACGUGAUAUCUACACAAGGGAAUAUAAGUAAACGUAAUAAACGAACCAAGUGUGCCUAUGUCGCCUGUGCAUCCGUAGGAAUAUUUUGUGAGGAUUCUCUACUAACUUAACCAGCAGCUGCCCAUCUGUAUAGCUCAUACGAAUAAGUCAGAGUUGAUAUAUACGUGAAAUCGACCACCAAAGAGUUUCGAUUGUUGAAUCUUCCUCUUCGUUACUUUUUCUCUUCCAAGUAUUGAUAUGAAGAUGCAUCGCCUUGCAGUUUUUUAGCAUUGGUUUCAUCGACGGAGUGGGACGUCCUUCGAUAGCCAAAACCAGUUUCCCCCUGAAUAUCCCAGCAUAUUGCUACUAAAACAACAUUAUGUAAAGGAUUCUGUUGUUAUACUGGUAAUAUGCUGGAAUAUAAUGUUUUCGGCUAGUAGGUGUCGUAAGCUGCACCAGGGGA